rnacentral:rRNA from 1 species
AACGAACGCUGGCGGCAUGCCUAACACAUGCAAGUCGAACGAGACCUUCGAGUCUAGUGGCGCACGGGUGCGUAACGCGUGGGAACCUGCCCUUAGGUUCGGAAUAACUCCCCGAAAGGGGUGCUAAUACCGGAUAAUGUCUUCGGACCAAAGAUUUAUCGCCUUUGGAUGGGCCCGCGUUGGAUUAGCUAGUUGGUAGGGUAAAAGCCUACCAAGGCGACGAUCCAUAGCUGGUCUGAGAGGAUGAUCAGCCACACUGGGACUGAGACACGGCCCAGACUCCUACGGGAGGCAGCAGUGGGGAAUAUUGGACAAUGGGCGAAAGCCUGAUCCAGCAAUGCCGCGUGAGUGAUGAAGGCCUUAGGGUUGUAAAGCUCUUUUACCCGGGAUGAUAAUGACAGUACCGGGAGAAUAAGCGCCGGCUAACUCCGUG